AAUAACUUCAUUUUUCAGUUUUUUUAUACAAUGUUUUGACUCUUCUUCUUAUUUGAAAAAAAAUUUGUGAUUAAUAUUUUUAUUGUUACUAGAUGAUAAAACAUGAAUAGUACAUUAUACAUGACUAAUUUUUUUAAGUUUUUGUACAAAUUUUUCAAAUAAGAUGAAUGGUCAAACGUUGGACAUGGAAAAACA
rnacentral:pre_miRNA from 1 species